GACAGAGGUGGCGAGCGUUGUUCGGAAUUAUUGGGCGUAAAGGGCGCGUAGGCGGUUGAAUAAGUCAGAUGUGAAAGCCCUUGGCUUAACCAAGGAAGUGCAUUUGAUACUAUUUGACUUGAGUAUGGGAGAGGGAAGUGGAAUUCCUGGUGUAGAGGUGAAAUUCGUAGAUAUCAGGAGGAACACAGGUGGCGAAAGCGACUUCCUGGACCAAUACUGACGCUGAGGCGCGAAGGCGUGGGGAGCAAACAGG
rnacentral:rRNA from 1 species